UGGGUUCCCAGGAUAGGGGUUGAAUCAGAUUUACCACUGCCAGCCUACACCACAGCAACUGCAACGUGGGAUCCGAGCCGCGUCUGCCACCUACACCACAGCUCACGGCAACGCUGGAUCCUUAACCCAAGGAGUGAGGCCAGGGAUCGAACCUGCCUCCUCAUGGAUCCCAGUCAGAUUCAUUAACCACUGAGCCACGGGGGGCACUCGCUGUAAAACAUUUUUAAGAGGCAGGUGAGGGAGGACGUUCACAGGGGAAGGGAUCGCUCCUGCGCAGUUCUCUGAUUGGCUGAUGGUGAGGUCAUAGGGCGGUGUCAGAGGGGUUGACGUCAUCAGUUCUGAGGCUCCGGGAGCCCUGGGGGCUGUGUGCUCCUGGACAAAUUGUUAAUGUUUCCAUUUGGGGGGUGGGGGGCAGGGUUCACAUUUAUACAACUCAGGAACUGUGCAUCAGAUCCUGCUAUGUAGGUAUCUCAGAGGGGAGCUCAAGCAGAGGAUGUGGGGGGAGGGCUGUCGGGGGAGGGCCGCUGCAGAGGCUCUGUCGAAGCAUGUUUCAACAUGACUAGUUGACCAGGAGUCCCCAAUAUUUUUGAAAUAAGAAGCUGCUGAGUCAGAUGGAGAACUACAAAUACUGUAUGAUAUCACUUAUAUUGGAAUCUGAAAAAUACAGUCAGCUAGCGAAUGAAACAAAAAAAGAAGUGGACGCAAAUACAGAGAACAAACCAGUGGGGAGGGGGAAGCAGGGAGGGACCGUGCAGAGAGCUAGCUGAGAGGAAAAAGCGGUCGUUAGGGAAUUAAAAUUGAAAGCAUCUCUCAUUUGAUAAAUAAAAAUUAAACGCAACAGAAGGUAAUAACAGAAAGCAACUGAUUUAUGAUCAGCACAAAAAUUAAAAGAUGGGGAAUUUAAUUUUAGAGCGAAAAAAGAGCAGCUACUGUUCAUUUUUCCAAACCCUGGAGAGACCAGUGGCUUCUCCGUCGGUAGGCAGGUGCUCUGAUGAGCUGUGUACCAGUGAGGAGGUGGCGGAUGUGAUGGUGGGACGGCUUCUGAGCAGAACCAAGGUUGGACCCGGAUCUGCCUAGACUGCACUUGCUGCUGUGUGUUGAGAUGUCCCCGAGGGAAUGGAAGGGGACUUCUUGCAGAGAAGGUGUGUGCGGCGGCUGAAAUGUGUGAGCCAUCUGCUCGGGCUGGCUGUGGGCGGGGGGGGCGUCGGGGGGGGGCAGCAAUCAGGAGGGAGAAACAGUUUCAGUUUGAGGAUGCGGUCCUUCGUUCGGCCUGGGAGCCUAAUGGUUUCAGCCAACAGGCAUUUAUUGCUUUCCUACUGUACGUAGACCAGUGCAAAAGGGUUUUGCUUUGAGGAGGCUGAGCGAGGUGAUCAUUCUCCUGGCGUAAUUUGAAAAUGUGAGAGGAACCAAGGCUGUCUGUGAACAUAAUGGGAAGGUGUGAACAUAGUCAAGUCCAUUAUUCUUUACAGGCGUAUCUCAGUGUGGCUUCAUGAGGAAGAUGGCUGCACAGUGGUCUCUCUCCGGUUUUGAGGAGGAGUCUUAAAUGCAAUGGGAACAAUUCCCAGAUGGCGAAGAUGACAGCCACUAGCCAUGACACCCAGUAUCAGAAGCCUCAGGGUAGGGAUACCCAACCGGUCCCCUGCAAGCCCUGUUCAUACCACUCUGAGACAUCCACCUGUCCGUCAAUGCAGGAAGAAGUCAGGUCUGUCAACCAUAACUAGCCUGUUUCCUAUUUUGCCUUCCUAGCAAAGUGCAGGGCACAUAAUAGGUGUUCAGUACAAACUUAAGACUCAUAUGAUACAUAUAUUUGUUAUACGACUAGAUGUUGUGGGUUUUUCUCCAUCUGAACUUAAUAAUUUUGGGGGGAGGUGCUGUAGGUAGAAUUGCGCCCCCCCAAAUCAUGUGUUGACGCCCUAAUCCCCACUGUGACCACAUUUGGCCUGAGGAAGCCAUGAAGGUUAAGUGAGCUCAUAAGUGAGACUUCCAAGAGGAUGAGUGUCCUGGUCAGAAGCAAUAGCAGAGAACUGGCUCUCUUUCCCUCCUCCCCGUGGGAGAUCUCAGCACGAAGGCAGCCAUCUGCAAGCCAGGAGAGAGCUCCCAGCAGAAACUGGCACCUUGAUCUUGUCCUGCCCGGUCUCCAGAACUCUGAGAACAUAAACUCCUGUUGUUUAAGCCACACGGUCUGUGGUGUUGUGUUAUGGCAGCCCCACCAGACCAGGACGGGGGUGGAGGUGGGGGCGUGAGAUGCUUGUAAAUGUUUUCAAGCUGGGUCUCCUGGAACCUGUGCUCAGUGAAGACUGUAAAGCCAGAGGCUGUUUGUAAAAGUGGGCUUUCUGUAUGAUGCUGGGAGUAAACUCCAAAUAACCCAUCUGAGUCCCAGGGUCCUAUUUGGAAGACUUUCUUUUAACAUUUUUUAAAGAUUUUUUGUUUGACUGAUUGUUUUGGGGCCGGUGGGGGGGGGGGUUGGCUGCGCCCACCGCAUAUAAAAGUUCCCUGGCCAGGGUUGUACCAGAGCCAAGCAGUGACAAUGCUGCUGGAUCCCUAAUCUCUAGGCCACCAGGGAACUCCUGCAAACAUUUUUUUUUUUAAGAUGAAAAGUGUUGAACAGAAAGAAGCAGAGGGUGAAUAAAAGAGGAGAGGAAGAACUCAGGAAUGAAAGAAAACACGCUUGUAUUGGCCUACAGAGAGUAGAAUGCUUAGACCAAAUUUAGUACUGAAUAGUUCCUUUGAAAAAAUCAUGUCUCCUAAAACCAACUCCAAAUGGAGUCAUAUAAACCCAAACACUAGCAUCAGGGGAAUUUUCCAGUGAGGGAGAACAUUUUCGCAAUAUUAGUAAUUUAGUUUUCUCAUAAGGAAAUAAAAAGGAAAUUAAUUCAAUGAUUUGUUCAGAAUAGUUAUAAAAAUGUACAGGCUCAGAGAUUAGUGGCGAAUCUAGUUCCUGCUGGAGGCGGCAAUUCUUUGGUCUCCUAGAGGAGAUAAAUUCUAAUACUUAUCUGUGUUGAGGCAGAGAAGAGGAAGGGCUGGUGCUGUGGCUUCUGCCCCCUUGUCCCAGAAAAGGUGCAGGCAUAGGAAACAGACCUCCUGCUCUCCUGCCUUAUUAUUAUUUCUGCUUCCUUUUUUUUCCCUUUUUCAUAUUUACUUGACUUUUUUCCCCCAUUUUUAUUGUGAUAUAAUUGACCUAUAAUGUUGUAUAAGUUUAAGGUGUAUGUUGUGAUAAUUUGAUUUAUAUGUAUAUUUCAAAAUGAUUAUCACCAUAAGGUUCAGCAUCCAUCACCUCACAGAUACUUUUUGUCUUUGUAUGUGUGGCCAUGUGUGUGUAGAACUGUAAAGAUUUACUCUUAGCAACUUUCAAGUAUACAACACAGUACUGUUAACGGUUGUCACCCUGCUAUACUUUAGAUCCCCAGAAAUCAUUCAUUUCAAAACUGGAAGCUUGUAUCCUUUGAUCACCUUCAUCCAUCCAGCUUACCCACCUCAACUGCCAGCAACCACCAAUCUACUCUUUGUUUCUAUGAGGUUUUUUUUUUAAUUAAUUUUUUUUUUUUUUUGUCUUUUUAGAGCUGCACCCAUGGCAUGUAGAAGUUCACAGGCUAGGGGCUGAAUCAGAGCUGCAGCUGCUGGCCUACACCACAGCCACAGCAACUCUGGAUCAGAGCCACUUCUUCGACCUACACCAUAGCUCAUGGCAACACCCUAUCCUUAACUCUCUAAGCAAGUCCAGGGAUCGAACCAGAGCCCUCAUGGAUGUUAGUUGGCUUUGUUACUACCAAGCCACAGUGGGAACUCUCUAUGAGUUCAUUUUUAGGUUUCACAUAUAAGUGAGAUCAUACAGUAUUUAUAUUUUUCUGACUUACUUCACUCAGCAUAAUACCCUCAAAGUUCAUCCAUGUUGUUGCAAAUGGCAAGAUUUUCUUCCUUUUUUAUGGCUGAAUAAUAUUCCAUUUUUUCUUUCUAUCUAUCUCACAUUGCUUUAUUCAUUCAUCCAUUGACAGACACUUGGGUUGUUUCCAGACUUUGUUUAUUAUGAAUAACGCUGCUUUGACCAUGGAGUACAGCUAUCUCUUUGAGAGAGGGAUUUCAUUUCCUUUGGAUAUAUACCCCAAAGUGGAAUUACUGGAUUCUAUGAUAGUUCUUUUAAUUUUUUUGAGGAAACUUUGUAUUCCUUCCCAUAGUGGCUACACUCCCGCCAACAGUAUACAAGGCUUCUUUUUCACCACAUCCUUGCUAGCACUUGUUAUCGCUUGUCUUUUUUUUUUUUUUGGUCACAUCCACAGCAUAUGGAAGUUCCCAGGCCAGUGAUCAGAUCUGAGCCACAGCUACAACCUGCGCUGCAGCUGUGGCAGCGCCAGAUCCUUAACUCAGUGCACUUGGCUGGGGAUCACAGUUGCACCUCAGCAGUGACCCAAACUGCCCCAUCUCUUGUCUUUUUGAUGGUAGCCAUUCUAAAAGCUGUGAAGUGAUAUCUCACUGUGGCUUUGAUUUGCAUUUCCCUUAUGAUUAGUGAGUUUCAGCAACUUCCUACAUACCUGCUGGCAACUUAUAUAUAUAUAUUUUGGGAAGCUGUCUAUUCGGGUUCUUUGUCUUAAUCGGGUUCAUUAGGGAGUUUGUUUUGUUGGUUUUUUGCUGUUGAGUUGUGUGUUUCUCAUAUAUUUUGGAUAUUAACUCCUUAUCAGAUAUAUGGUUUGCAAAUAUUUCUACCAUUCUGCACACUGACUUUUCAUUUUAUUAUUUCUUUUGCUGUGCAGAAGCUUUUUAGUUUGAUAUGGUUCCACUUGUUUGUUUUGGUUGCUUGCGCUUUUGGUGUCAAAUCCAAAAAAUGAUGCAUCAAAACCAAUGUCAAGAAGCUUACCCCCAUGUUUCCUUCUAGGACUUUUUUAGUUUCAAGUAUUGCAUUUAAGUCUUAAUCCAUUUCAAAGUAAUUUUUGUAAGCAGUGUAAGAUAGGGGUCCAGUUUCAUUAUUAAAGAAACUACCUUUUCCUCUGAGUAUUCUUGACUCCUUUGCCAAGUAUUGGUUGACCAUGUACACUUGGGUUUAUUUUUGGGUUCUCAAUUUUGUUCCAUUGAUCUAUGUGUAUGUUUAUGCCAGUACCAUAUUUGAGCUCAGAGAGGUUAGGGACAGUGUCACGGUCACAUUUUGUAAGUAGUGAAGCUGAGAUUCAAAUAUAGAUCUCUCUGAAUAUAAAUUACUUAAGCACACACAGACUAGAAUAAUAUGAUCCAAAAGGGCUUGGAUCAUAUUAUUGGCAAGAAAUAGCUAAUCAAGCCACGGUCUUCAGUUUUAUGUUAGAGCCCAACGUGUGAACUGUAUCUCUUUCCAUCCCACUCAGAAUCUGUCCUCCCAUCAAAAUCAUGAGGUUGUGGGUUCAAUCUCUGAUCUUGCUCAGUGUGUUCAAGAUCCAGUUGCCAUGAGCUAUGGUGUAGGUCAGCAGCUAUAGCUCUGAUUAGACCCCCAGCUGGGAACCUCCCUAUGCUGUGGGUGCAGCUCUACAAAGCCAAAAAAAAAAAAAAAAAAA
rnacentral:lncRNA from 1 species